CAGUAGCCACGGUAAUACGGAGGGUGCAAGCGUUAAUCGGAAUUACUGGGCGUAAAGCGCACGCAGGCGGUUUGUUAAGUCAGAUGUGAAAUCCCCGAGCUUAACUUGGGAACUGCAUUUGAAACUGGCAAGCUAGAGUCUUGUAGAGGGGGGUAGAAUUCCAGGUGUAGCGGUGAAAUGCGUAGAGAUCUGGAGGAAUACCGGUGGCGAAGGCGGCUCCCUGGACAAAGACUGACGCUCAGGUGCGAAAGCGUGGGGAGCAAACAGGAUUAGAUACCCGCGUAGUCCCUGUCUCUUAUAC
rnacentral:rRNA from 1 species